rnacentral:rRNA from 1 species
AACGAACGCUGGCGGCAUGCCUAACACAUGCAAGUCGAACGAGACCUUCGGGUCUAGUGGCGCACGGGUGCGUAACGCGUGGGAACCUGCCCUUAGGUUCGGAAUAACUCCCCGAAAGGGGUGCUAAUACCGGAUAAUGUCUUCGGACCAAAGAUUUAUUGCCUUUGGAUGGGCCCGCGUUGGAUUAGCUAGUUGGUAGGGUAAAAGCCUACCAAGGCGACGAUCCAUAGCUGGUCUGAGAGGAUGAUCAGCCACACUGGGACUGAGACACGGCCCAGACUCCUACGGGAGGCAGCAGUGGGGAAGAUUGGACAAUGGGCGAAAGCCUGAUCCAGCAAUGCCGCGUGAGUGAUGAAGGCCUUAGGGUUGUAAAGCUCUUUUACCCGGGAUGAUAAUGACAGUACCGGGAGAAUAAGCUCCGGCUAACUCCGU